rnacentral:lncRNA from 1 species
GUGCGCAGUCGUGAGUGCGGACUGCGGGGCCACGUUUCCCAAGACCGAGGAAAACUUAGUGCCGGGAGGGAAUUUGGGAUGGUUUGAAUCGAACUUGUUGAAAUCCCUGUGGACCGCCUAGGAAGUAGAAUCUGACGACUACGGCUUUUUCUGUAAUUUAAAAAAUUUUAUUAAAAAUUAAAGGUUCACUCCCUUUGCCCCAGUAACUUCUAGGAGUUUAUCUGCAGAAGGUAAUCGGAGAGCCAGAUAAAAGACGUCUGUACAUCUUAGAGUUUAUUUAACAUCAGAAAAAAUGGAAACAGUUUGGGAAUGGUUAAAUAAGGUAUGGUACACGCCCAAGGGGAGCAUCGUGCAGCUCCUUUUUUUUUUUUUUUUUUUUUUUUUUUUUUUUUGAAACGGAGUCUCGCUCUGUCUCCUAGGCUGGAGUGCAUUGACACGAUCUUGGCUCACUGCAACCUCCACCUCCCGGGUUCAAGCGAUCCUCCUGCCUCAGCCUCCUGAAUAGGACUACAGGCGCACGCCACCACCCCAGACUAAUUUUUGUAUUUUUAGUAAAGACGGAGUUUCACCAUGUUGGCCAGGCUGGUCUCAAACUCCUGACCUUGUGAUCCACCCGACUUGGCCUCCCAAAGUGCUGGGAUUACAGGCGUGAGCCACCAAGCCCGGCCUAGUGCAGCUUCUUAAAAUAGUGUUUUAUUAUGUAAUGUUAGGUUUUAAAAGUGGACUGCAAGCAGCACC